CCUACGGGUGGCAGCAGUGAGGAAUAUUGGUCAAUGGACGAGAGUCUGAACCAGCCAAGUAGCGUGAAGGAUGACUGCCCUAUGGGUUGUAAACUUCUUUUAUAUGGGAAUAAAACGUUCCACGUGUGGGAUUUUGUAUGUACCAUAUGAAUAAGGCUCGGCUAACUCCGUGCCAGCAGCCGCGGUAAUACGGAGGAUCCGAGCGUUAUCCGGAUUUAUUGGGUUUAAAGGGAGCGUAGGUGGAUUGUUAAGUCAGUUGUGAAAGUUUGCGGCUCAACCGUAAAAUUGCAGUUGAAACUUGCAGUCUUGAGUACAGUAGAGGUGGGCGGAAGUCGUGGUGUAGCGGUGAAAUGCUUAGAUAUCACGAAGAACUACGAUUGCGAAGGCAGUUCACUGGACUGCAACUGACACUGAGGCUCGAAAGUGUGGGUAUCAAACAGGAUUAGAGACCCCGGUAGUC
rnacentral:rRNA from 1 species